rnacentral:rRNA from 1 species
GACAGAGGGUGCAAACGUUGUUCGGAAUUACUGGGCGUAAAGCGAGUGUAGGCGGUUCGUUAAGUCUGUUGUGAAAGCCCCGGGCUCAACCUGGGAAUGGCAAUGGAUACUGGCGAGCUAGAGUGUGUCAGAGGAUGGUGGAAUUCCCGGUGUAGCGGUGAAAUGCGUAGAGAUCGGGAGGAACAUCAGUGGCGGAAGGCGGCCAUCUGGGACAACACUGACGCUGAGGCACGAAAGCGUGGGGAGCAAACAGG